GUGGACGCAGAUAAACACAGUGCUGUGUUAUUGGCUUUGCAGGAGACGUGUCGCAAUGAUCGUUAGCAAAGUUAAUCAUUGACAAAACUAACAAAACAUGAAUUACGUUGUUUCUUGUCCGUGGGUUCAUCUCUACCAAAAAUGUAACGGACAGCUCACAGCUUUUUUUU
rnacentral:telomerase_RNA from 1 species